UUUGCAAGUUAACGUUUCUAUGGAAUUAUGAUGAACCACUAUCACUCAUUCCAUUCUGUUAUUUACACCUUUUUUCGUGAGUGAUUUAUCCUUCCACCUUCCUCUGUUUCUUUUCUUAUAAAACCUCUUCAUCGAAGCUUUCAUGAACCAAAAUCAAAGACCUAAAUCUCAUUGUGUUUGUUCUUCAUUGACAUGAUCUCAAACUGUGCGAGGCCACUUUGAUUUUUAAAGAUCCAUCUGCGGAAGUCACAAAUACACCUAAAGUCGAGGUGCUCAUCGGACUAGAGCUUCUUCUGAGGAUAGCUGCUACAGAUAAAAGGUUGGGCUCUGAAUGUACAUCUCAAAAACAAAAGCAGAAACAACAAUGCAUCAACUGAUGCCAGUUCAUCACACGUAUUCUUCACAUGGUACUUGGUGCAAUAUCUUUCACGAAGAAGUUGAUAUUCACAAACGGUGCACCACUUUCUUUUCACAGAUAAAUAGAUGAUUUUAAUUUGGGUAUGCAAGCACACUAUUUAAUAUUUAUAUGUCUUCUGGCAGAAUAUUUUUGAAGAGGCUGGCGUUGCUUGAUGUUUGGAAUUUCAAAGUGGGUAAUAAAAGAAUGAGAAAACUAUCAGCUGGUCAUUGCAAGUGUCUAACUAAAAACUGUAGGAGGAGAAUGUACGAGGAAACAAAGGUUCUACAAAAGCAAGAAUACAUCAAGGCAUAGUUAGUGUUUUGGCCGGCCAGAGCGGAAUCGGGAAACCAACAGUAAUUGAGCUGCUGCGCAAAUUUUACAAUCCUAAUGAGGUCAUCACUUCUGAUGGAUCUGACUCAGUUUGAGAUUAAUACCUUCAGCUGGAUGGCUUGCUCAGCAACCCGGUAUGUUGAGCCAAGAACCGUCUCUGUUCAGUGAAAUUAUCAGAGAAAUCAUUGCUUACGAGAAAAGGAGGAGAUGCUUCUUAAACCAAUGUCGUAUAUGCAACUGAUAACCUAACAUUCAUGGCAUCAUUAAUGGACUGCAACAUGUAUUUUUAACGGCACCUGAUCAAAUGUACAGUCCUAAUUUCUAGAUUCAUACUAAACUGAAGAUGUAUUUACUAUUGCAAGGAUGGUGGGUGAAAGAGGAUUUCAAUUAGCAGGCGGUCAUAAAUUGAGAGUGGCCAUAGCCAGAUAAAAUUUUGAAGACCCUACGGUGUUGCUGCUGAAUGAAGAAACAAUUACAUUUGACUGUAUCAUGCUUAACACCUCGGUUGUCAAAAAUCAAGAACUCAUGUAUUUUUAUUAAUUU